AAACCAGCACCUCAAGUGGUCAGGAUGAUUAUUGGGCCUAAAGCAUCCGUAGCCGGCUCUGUAAGUUUUCGGUUAAAUCUGUAUGCUCAACAUACAGGCUGCCGGGAAUACUGCAGAACUAGGGAGUGGGAGAGGUAGACGGUACUCGGGAGGAAGUGGUAAAAUGCUUUGAUCUCUCGAUGACCACCUGUGGCGAAGGCGGUCUACCAGAACACGUCCGACGGUGAGGGAUGAAAGCUGGGGGAGCAAACCGGAUUAGAAACCCGAGUAGUCC
rnacentral:rRNA from 1 species